GUGAACGUGGUUUUUCCCAGCAUCAGAUCUGAACGCAAUUUCCUUUAGAAGCUGAGGUCGCCUGCUCUCUUUAGCAGCCAAAGCUUUAAUUCAGAAGCCCUCAUGGCCUUUCAGGUGUGCCCGGAGUCAAAUCAGGGCUGGAGUGUUUGGGAGACACCGAGAAAAACAGGUGCGGACCAACUGACUUCCGCUGGUUGCCUCCUCAUCACCCACUCCAAACAUCCAGGGAAUGAUAUUUUCGGGGACCACAAAGGAAUUCAAAAGGUGUGACGCCACAAGGGCAAAGAGGAUGGAAGAGGAGACCAAGCAGAGACAUGGGCCCGCAGUGUUUGCACAGUGAACAGCUGAUGGCGACUCAUAACUCAGCAGAGAAGCUGAGACCUUGGUGCCCUGGGGACCCAAGCACUGCUGAGAGCCUGCCCACUGGGAGGAACAAAGUGGACAUCUGCAUAGCACACUCUGGUAGAUUUUUAAAGAUGAUUUCAUUUAUUUGACAGAGAGAGGCAGCAAGGGAGGGAACACAAGCAAGGGGAGUGGGAGAGGGAGAAGCAGGCUUCAUGCCCAGCAGGGAUCCCGACGAGGGGCUUGAUCCCAGGACCCUGGGAUCAUGACCUGAGCCAAAGGCAGACGCUUAAAGGCUGAGCCAUCCAGGCACCCCGGCAUAGGACACUUUGGGAACCACAGCCUCACCCUUGAGGGAAGCUGAGUGAAUCCCCAGCCAUGCAUCUGGCUUUGUGGUACCAGACAUUUGAGGAAACCUUCUACCGUGAAAGGCAGAAACCUAUCAAAACAAAAGGGAUAAAAGGAGACAACAGGAAGAAUCAAAGGAAACUCUGAAGCAUGUUUACCAUUUGCUAACUCUCUGGACCCCAAGUGCUGCUUUCUGGCAAUGUGCGGCCUGGACACCCAGGUCUGGACAACUUUUCUCCUCUGAGAUAGGCUUUUAAAGGGGCUCCUGGGUGGCUCACGAGGUUAAGCCUCUGACUUGAUUUCGGCUCAGGUCAUGAUCUUGGGGUUGUGAGAUCGAGCCCCAUGUUGGGCUCCACGCUGGGCAUGGAAUCUGCUUGGGAUUCUCUUUCUGCCCUUCCCCCCACUCUAAAAAAAAAAAAAAAACAACAGAGAGAGAGCAAGAGAUAGGCUUUUGUAGCAAUGAGGCAGCCCCUGGGACCCUAAGGCUCUGAGGGAGGGUCUAACACUCAGAUCCUAAGCUCUUGUUCUGAACUCCUGCCCUUGGUUCUUUAGUCAACCUGUUAUUCCCUUUGCUAUGGUCAGAACGUUUGUGUUCCCUGCCCCCCAGAUUCCUAAUGCCCAAUGUGAUGGUCUUAGGAGGUGGGGCCUUUGGCAGGUGCUUAGAUCAUGAGAGUGGAGACCUCAUGAAUGACAUUGGUGUCCUUAUAAAAGAGACCCAGAGAGAUUCUCUUGCCUCUUCAUCAGGUGAGGACACAGAGGAGAAGGCACUGGCUAUGAACCGGGACAAGGGCCCUAAGCAGUAGGCAACCAUGCUGGGGCCUUGACCUGGACUCCCCAGGUCCCAGAACUAGGAUAAAAAAUUUCCUGCUGUUUAUAAGCCAGCCAGUCUGUAGUAUUGUGUUAUAUUACCCCGAAGGGACUAAGACACCUUCGAAAGCUGGCCCUGCCUUUCUAGGCCUGCAUUAGCCCCAGGAAGCAGCAAACUUGCCUCCAGGUCUAGGGUUCUGGAAGGGGCAGACACUGCCAAGGGGAACUGAAGCAGGAACAGGAAGCCAGGCACACAGUGAUAUGUACAGUGCGAUUCCAUUCACCUCACAUUCUGGAAAUGCCAAAGCUAUAGGGAGGAAAAAUCAAAGCAGUGCUUAUCAGAGCAUGGCGGUGGGGGAAGGGGCACCAGAACCCUCUUCCGAAUGAUGAAAAUGCUCUAUACCUUGAUACCUGUGGUUGUCAGACGAUCACACACUUUUGUCAAAAUUCUUUAAACUGUCUGUUUAAAAAGGGUAUAUAUUUUUUAAUUACGAAGUAAAUUAAAAUUUUAAUGCAUGUAAAUUAUACCACAAUAAAGCUGACUUUUGAAAAGGAAAAGAGAAAAGAGAUGGGAAGACAAAGGGAGAUUAGCAGGUCUGGGUUCAACUCCCACCGGUCACUUGAGAAUGGUGCCAUAAUCUAGAGCAAGCGAGUGACUUCAUUCCUGACUCUGUUUCCCGCUCUCUCAAAUGGAACUAUCAACAGAUCUAUCUUCCAGGCUGGAGAUAAGAAUUAUGAAAGAAAAUGCUCAGGGGCACCUGGCUGGCUCAGCCUGCGGAGUGUGGGACUCUUGAUCGCGGGCUUGUGAGUUCCAGCCCCAUGUAGGGUGUGGAAAAUCACUUUAAAAUAAAAUCUGGGGGGGAAAAAAAGAAAGAAAGAAAAUGCCAUAAAGCUCCUGGCUCAAGCGCCCUCCAAGCUACUUAUUCGUGUUCCCACCUCUCGGGUGCAUCCCUCUAGAACGAAUCCGCUCCCUCACGGACGCAGAGGCCAGAGGCCCUGACACCCUCACUGUCCUGCGCUGUGACUUGGGGAAGGAAGUGGGGCUUGAUGAGCCCGCCGCCCGCGUCCAAAGGGAAGCUCCGCAGCGCCCCCACGCUGUAGUGGGGAGACCGAGCUCCGACUGCGGGACGGG